rnacentral:rRNA from 1 species
UGGGGAAUUUUGGACAAUGGGCGAAAGCCUGAUCCAGCCAUGCCGCGUGAGUGAAGAAGGCCUUCGGGUUGUAAAGCUCUUUUGGUCGGAAAGAAAGAGUUGCAAUGAAUUAUUGUGAUUUAUGACGGUACCGACAGAAAAAGCACCGGCUAACUACGUGCCAGCAGCCGCGGUAAUACGUAGGGUGCGAGCGUUAAUCGGAAUUACUGGGCGUAAAGGGUGCGCAGGCGGUCUUGCAAGUCAGAUGUGAAAGCCCCGGGCUUAA